UACGUAGGGUGCAAGCGUUGUCCGGAAUUAUUGGGCGUAAAGAGCUCGUAGGCGGUCUGUCGCGUCUGCUGUGAAAACUCAGGGCUUAACCCUGAGCUUGCAGUGGGUACGGGCAGACUAGAGUGCGGUAGGGGAGACUGGAAUUCCUGGUGUAGCGGUGAAAUGCGCAGAUAUCAGGAGGAACACCGGUGGCGAAGGCGGGUCUCUGGGCCGUAACUGACGCUGGAGGAAGCGGAAAGCAUGGGGAGCGAACAGG
rnacentral:rRNA from 1 species